rnacentral:rRNA from 2 species
AGACCCGAAACCCGGUGAUCUAGCCAUGGGCAGGUUGAAGGUUGGGUAACACUAACUGGAGGACCGAACCGACUAAUGUUGAAAAAUUAGCGGAUGACCUGUGGCUGGGGGUGAAAGGCCAAUCAAACCGGGAGAUAGCUGGUUCUCCCCGAAAGCUAUUUAGGUAGCGCCUCGUGAAUUCAUCUCCGGGGGUAGAGCACUGUUUCGGCUAGGGGGCCAUCCCGGCUUACCAACCCGAUGCAAACUGCGAAUACCGGAGAAUGUUAUCACGGGAGACACACGGCGGGUGCUAACGUCCGUCGUGAAGAGGGAAACAACCCAGACCGCCAGCUAAGGUCCCAAAGUCAUGGUUAAGUGGGAAACGAUGUGGGAAGGCCCAGACAGCCAGGAUGUUGGCUUAGAAGCAGCCAUCAUUUAAAGAAAGCGUAAUAGCUCACUGGUCGAGUCGGCCUGCGCGGAAGAUGUAACGGGGCUAAACCAUGCACCGAAGCUGCGGCAGCGACACUCAGGUGUUGUUGGGUAGGGGAGCGUUCUGUAAGCCUGUGAAGGUGGCCUGUGAGGGUUGCUGGAGGUAUCAGAAGUGCGAAUGCUGACAUAAGUAACGAUAAAGCGGGUGAAAAGCCCGCUCGCCGGAAGACCAAGGGUUCCUGUCCAACGUUAAUCGGGGCAGGGUGAGUCGACCCCUAAGGCGAGGCCGAAAGGCGUAGUCGAUGGGAAACGGGUUAAUAUUCCCGUACUUGGUGUUACUGCGAAGGGGGGACGGAGAAGGCUAUGUUGGCCGGGCGACGGUUGUCCCGGUUUAAGCGUGUAGGUGUGUGUUCCAGGUAAAUCCGGUUCACUUUAACACUGAGGCGUGACGACGAGGCACUACGGUGCUGAAGCAACAAAUGCCCUGCUUCCAGGAAAAGCCUCUAAGCAUCAGGUAACAUCAAAUCGUACCCCAAACCGACACAGGUGGUCAGGUAGAGAAUACCAAGGCGCUUGAGAGAACUCGGGUGAAGGAACUAGGCAAAAUGGUGCCGUAACU